UACAGAGGUCUCAAGCGUUGUUCGGAAUCACUGGGCGUAAAGGGCGCGUAGGCGGCCUGUUAAGUCGAACGUGAAAUCCCUGGGCUCAACCCAGGAACUGCGUCCGAUACUGGCAGGCUUGAAUCCGGGAGAGGGAUGUGGAAUUCCAGGUGUAGCGGUGAAAUGCGUAGAUAUCUGGAGGAACACCGGUGGCGAAGGCGGCAUCCUGGACCGGUAUUGACGCUGAGGCGCGAAAGCCAGGGGAGCAAACGGG
rnacentral:rRNA from 1 species